UGCGUCGUUAGUUACCUCAAUAAAAGCCUACUUUAAUAUACAGAAUAAAUGUUCUGCUCUCUUCAUGCGUGAAAGGAUGUCAUAACAGGCAACCGUCUUCUAUCUCUUUCCUGGGGUUGUGUGCAUGCUGUAGGUGCACUUUAGGACCCUGCUCCAGCUACUAUCAUAAAGCACUAUAGACUAGUCUUUGUUGAAGGCUGAAGUGCUACAAAGUACCCAACAAAGAACAAAAUGCAAGGGCGCCCUGACCUGCAAUGCAUCUGAGAAACCUUGCCAUAGGGGGGUUUCAAAAGACUGGAGGAUUGUAUGGGCAUCACAUCACAGCAUGCUUAAAAUGUGUAAAUUCACCUAGGGCAUAUGGCUCUAUCAAAUAUGGAAAGGACUAUCAAAUAGAUGGACUACAAGGUUUUUUUAUUUAUAACUUUUUUAUGGAAUAUAUAGGAGUUGAGGGCUAGGACAUGCUUGAGUCAGGCAUUGAAAUGGGGACAGGAUUGAAAGGGUCUCUCUAUAGUGGAAUGACUGCUUCAUCAAUAGGUAAUAUCCCGACUGGUUUCUCAAUAGGUAAUAUCCCGACUGGUUUCUCAAUAGGUAAUAUCCCGACUGGUUUCUCAAUAGGUAAUGUCCCAACCGGUGUCUCAAUGGGCAAUGUCCCAACUGGUUUCUCAAUAGGUAAUAUCCCGACUGGUUUCUCAAUAGGUAAUGUCCCAACUGGUCUCUCAAUAGGUAAUAUCCCGACUGGUUUCUCAAUAGGUAAUGUCCCAACUGGUUUCUCAGCAAGUAAUAUCCUGUGUGGCUCAGUUGGUAGAGCAUGGUGUUUGCAACGCCAGGGUUGUGGGUUCGAUUCCCACGGGGGACCAGUACAGAGAAAAAAUGAAUGAAAUGUAUGCAUUCACUACUGUAAGUUGCUCUGGAUAAGAGUGUCUGCUAAAUGACUAAAAUAUAAAUGUAUGGUUUCUCAAUAGGCAAUGUCCCGACUGGUUUCUCAAUAGGUAAUGUCCUGACUGGUUUCUCAAUAGGUAAUAUCCCGACUGGUUUCUCAAUAGGUAAUAUCCCGACUUGUUUCUCAAUAGGUAAUGUCCCAACUGGUUUCUCAAUAGGUAAUGUCCCAACUGGUUUCUCAAUAGGUAAUGUCCUGACUGGUUUCUCAAUAGGUAAUAUCCCGACUGGUUUCUCAAUAGGUAAUGUCCCAACUGGUUUCUCAAUAGGUAAUGUCCUGACUGGUUUCUCAAUAGGUAAUAUCCCAACUAGUUUCUCAUGGGUGAGUACACCAGUGGGGGUGCAUUCAACACUCUGCAACUCUGUUA
rnacentral:lncRNA from 1 species